CCUUAGCUCAGUCGGUCAGAGCUGGAGACUCAUAAUCUCUAGGUCGGGGGUUCAAGUCCCUCAGGGUCC
rnacentral:tRNA from 1 species